rnacentral:rRNA from 1 species
AAGCGCUCGCGACCAGACUCGCGCGCGGUUGCUCAGCCGGUCUCUUGACCGGUGCACUCUUCCGCGCUCGGGCCAGCAUCGGUUUGGGCGGCCGGACAAAGGCGCGGGGAACGUGGCCCUCUUCGGGGGGUGUUAUAGCCUCGUGCACAAUACGGCCUGCCUGGACCGAGGACCGCGCAUCUGCCAGGAUGCUGGCGUAAUGGUCGCUAGCGG